UACGUAGGGGGCAAGCGUUGUCCGGAAUCAUUGGGCGUAAAGGGCGCGUAGGCGGUGCGGUAAGUCUGUAGUGAAAUCUCUGGGCUCAACUCAGAGUCUGCUAUAGAAACUGCCGUGCUUGAGUAUGGGAGAGGUGAGUGGAAUUUCCGGUGUAGCGGUGAAAUGCGUAGAUAUCGGAAGGAACACCUGUGGCGAAAGCGGCUCACUGGACCAUUACUGACGCUGAUGCACGAAAGCUAGGGGAGCAAACAGG
rnacentral:rRNA from 1 species